rnacentral:rRNA from 1 species
GUUAAGCGACUAAGCGUACACGGUGGAUGCCCUGGCAGUCAGAGGCGAUGAAGGACGUGCUAAUCUGCGAUAAGCGUCGGUAAGGUGAUAUGAACCGUUAUAACCGGCGAUUUCCGAAUGGGGAAACCCAGUGUGUUUCGACACACUAUCAUUAACUGAAUCCAUAGGUUAAUGAGGCGAACCGGGGGAACUGAAACAUCUAAGUACCCCGAGGAAAAGAAAUCAACCGAGAUUCCCCCAGUAGCGGCGAGCGAACGGGGAGCAGCCCAGAGCCUGAAUCAGUGUGUGUGUUAGUGGAAGCGUCUGGAAAGGCGCGCGAUACAGGGUGACAGCCCCGUACACAAAAAUGCACAUGCUGUGAGCUCGAUGAGUAGGGCGGGACACGUGGUAUCCUGUCUGAAUAUGGGGGGACCAUCCUCCAAGGCUAAAUACUCCUGACUGACCGAUAGUGAACCAGUACCGUGAGGGAAAGGCGAAAAGAACCCCGGCGAGGGGAGUGAAAAAGAACCUGAAACCGUGUACGUACAAGCAGUGGGAGCACGCUUAGGCGUGUGACUGCGUACCUUUUGUAUAAUGGGUCAGCGACUUAUAUUCUGUAGCAAGGUUAACCGAAUAGGGGAGCCGAAGGGAAACCGAGUCUUAACUGGGCGUUAAGUUGCAGGGUAUAGACCCGAAACCCGGUGAUCUAGCCAUGGGCAGGUUGAAGGUUGGGUAACACUAACUGGAGGACCGAACCGACUAAUGUUGAAAAAUUAGCGGAUGACUUGUGGCUGGGGGUGAAAGGCCAAUCAAACCGGGAGAUAGCUGGUUCUCCCCGAAAGCUAUUUAGGUAGCGCCUCGUGAAUUCAUCUCCGGGGGUAGAGCACUGUUUCGGCAAGGGGGUCAUCCCGACUUACCAACCCGAUGCAAACUGCGAAUACCGGAGAAUGUUAUCACGGGAGACACACGGCGGGUGCUAACGUCCGUCGUGAAGAGGGAAACAACCCAGACCGCCAGCUAAGGUCCCAAAGUCAUGGUUAAGUGGGAAACGAUGUGGGAAGGCCCAGACAGCCAGGAUGUUGGCUUAGAAGCAGCCAUCAUUUAAAGAAAGCGUAAUAGCUCACUGGUCGAGUCGGCCUGCGCGGAAGAUGUAACGGGGCUAAACCAUGCACCGAAGCUGCGGCAGCGACGCUUAUGCGUUGUUGGGUAGGGGAGCGUUCUGUAAGCCUGUGAAGGUGUGCUGUGAGGCAUGCUGGAGGUAUCAGAAGUGCGAAUGCUGACAUAAGUAACGAUAAAGCGGGUGAAAAGCCCGCUCGCCGGAAGACCAAGGGUUCCUGUCCAACGUUAAUCGGGGCAGGGUGAGUCGACCCCUAAGGCGAGGCCGAAAGGCGUAGUCGAUGGGAAACAGGUUAAUAUUCCUGUACUUGGUGUUACUGCGAAGGGGGGACGGAGAAGGCUAUGUUGGCCGGGCGACGGUUGUCCCGGUUUAAGCGUGUAGGCUGGUUUUCCAGGCAAAUCCGGAAAAUCAAGGCUGAGGCGUGAUGACGAGGCACUACGGUGCUGAAGCAACAAAUGCCCUGCUUCCAGGAAAAGCCUCUAAGCAUCAGGUAACAUCAAAUCGUACCCCAAACCGACACAGGUGGUCAGGUAGAGAAUACCAAGGCGCUUGAGAGAACUCGGGUGAAGGAACUAGGCAAAAUGGUGCCGUAACUUCGGGAGAAGGCACGCUGAUAUGUAGGUGAAGUCCCUCGCGGAUGGAGCUGAAAUCAGUCGAAGAUACCAGCUGGCUGCAACUGUUUAUUAAAAACACAGCACUGUGCAAACACGAAAGUGGACGUAUACGGUGUGACGCCUGCCCGGUGCCGGAAGGUUAAUUGAUGGGGUCAGCGCAAGCGAAGCUCUUGAUCGAAGCCCCGGUAAACGGCGGCCGUAACUAUAACGGUCCUAAGGUAGCGAAAUUCCUUGUCGGGUAAGUUCCGACCUGCACGAAUGGCGUAAUGAUGGCCAGGCUGUCUCCACCCGAGACUCAGUGAAAUUGAACUCGCUGUGAAGAUGCAGUGUACCCGCGGCAAGACGGAAAGACCCCGUGAACCUUUACUAUAGCUUGACACUGAACAUUGAGCCUUGAUGUGUAGGAUAGGUGGGAGGCUUUGAAGUGUGGACGCCAGUCUGCAUGGAGCCGACCUUGAAAUACCACCCUUUAAUGUUU